CAUGUAAUGUGGUAAAACUGGACAUGUCGAUGGUCAUUUAAGACAGUACAUAUGAUGGAUUUAGUACUGUUGACCAAAACAUGUUCGUAUAAAACAAUAUGAUAAUAUAAUAAAAUCAUUUUCUUAAUAUUUCGUCAGCACCAGAAAGAACAAGAUGAAAAAUUUGGGGCUGUUCGCCAUUAUUCUCCUCAUAGCAAGCGCACAGGUUAUAUCUGCUCAGGGUAACUUUGUCCGAGGACUUGUUCUUGGCGGUCUUGGUGGUAUUCUCCUUAACAGAGCAGUUGGAAAUAACAGACGAGGUGGAUUUGGCGGAGGACUUUUUGGAGGUGGACUCGGUGGAGGACUUCUGGGAGGUGGAUUCCGACAACCGUUCCCUGCUUUCAAUUCAGGUUUCCGUAAUUCCAGAGGAUUUUCGCCAUUUUUUUGAAUAAUGUUAUCUGAAGAUGUGCGUUAAGACGACCCAAGUAUAGUCCCGACGGUUUGAACUCUGAUUAUGUGGAAAAGAUGAUUACACCUUUGUUUCUCCAAGGAUCAUUUGUAGACUGUCACAACGUUGUAAAGCAAGUUGAUAUGUUUUCAGGUUUUGCAUAAUAAAAAGAUGAAGCAAUGGCAAA